UACGGAAGGCAGCAGUGGGGAAUAUUGCACAAUGGGCGCAAGCCUGAUGCAGCCAUGCCGCGUGUAUGAAAAAGGCCUUCGGGUUGUAAAGUACUUUCAGUCGUGAGGAAGGUGUUAAGGUUAAUAACCUUAGCAAUUGACGUUAGCGACAGAAGAAGCACCGGCUAACUCCGUGCCAGCAGCCGCGGUAAUACGGAGGGUGCGAGCGUUAAUCGGAAUUACUGGGCGUAAAGGGCACGCAGGCGGUUAAUUAAGUUGGAUGUGAAAUCCCCGGGCUUAACCUGGGAAUGGCAUUCAAGACUGGUUAGCUAGAGUCUUGUAGAGGGGGUAGAAUUCCAUGUGUAGCGGUGAAAUGCGUAGAGAUGUGGAGGAAUACCGGUGGCGAAGGCGGCCCCUGGACAAAGACUGACGCUCAUGUGCGAAAGCGUGGGGAGCAAACAGGGAUUUAGAUUUAC
rnacentral:rRNA from 1 species